CCGUGUGGCUCAGGAAGCAGAGCUCUAGAGACAUCUCUACCAUGGCCUGCACCCCCUCCUCCUCACCCUCCUCAGUCGCGGCACAGGUGG
rnacentral:pre_miRNA from 2 species